rnacentral:misc_RNA from 1 species
CACCUGCACCUGAUUCCGAGGC